UACGUAGGGUGCAAGCGUUAAUCGGAAUUACUGGGCGUAAAGCGUGCGCAGGCGGUUAUGUAAGACAGAUGUGAAAUGCCCGGGCUUAACCUGGGAACUGCAUUUGUGACUGCAUGGCUAGAGUUUGGCAGAGGGGGGUAGAAUUCCACGUGUAGCAGUGAAAUGCGUAGAGAUGUGGAGGAACACCGAUGGCGAAGGCAGCCCCCUGGGUCAAAACUGACGCUCAUGCACGAAAGCGUGGGGAGCAAACAGG
rnacentral:rRNA from 1 species